AUUGAACGCUGGCGGCAUGCCUUACACAUGCAAGUCGAACGGUAACAGGUUAAGCUGACGAGUGGCGAACGGGUGAGUAAUGUAUCGGAACGUGCCCAGUCGUGGGGGAUAACUACUCGAAAGAGUGGCUAAUACCGCAUACGACCUGAGGGUGAAAGCGGGGGACCGUAAGGCCUCGCGCGAUUGGAGCGGCCGAUAUCAGAUUAGCUAGUUGGUGGGGUAAAAGCCCACCAAGGCGACGAUCUGUAGCUGGUCUGAGAGGACGACCAGCCACACUGGGACGGAGACACGGCCCAGACUCCUACGGGAGUCAGCAGUGGGGAAUUUUGGACAAUGGACGCAAGUCUGAUCCAGCCAUGCCGCGUGCGGGAAGAAGGCCUUCGGGUUGUAAACCGCUUUUGUCAGGGAAGAAACGAGUUUCUCUAAUACAGAGACUUAAUGACGGUACCUGAAGAAUAAGCACCGGCUAACUACGUGCCAGCCGCCGCCGUAAGAC
rnacentral:rRNA from 1 species